UUCACCCCAGUGAAAUGUUUUAUUUCUUUAGAAGAGUUGCUGUGGUCGUGGUGUCUCUUCAUAGCAACAGAGACCCUGACUGUGACACAUGGGAAGUUGGAACACAAGGGAAUGGUAGGAUUUGGUUCAGCAUUUGGCUCUUUGACACAAAUAUUGAUAAGUAGAAACUAGCUAUCUGGACAGAGUAGUGUAUGUAAAAACAAAACUGAACAAACAAGCCGCAACAACAAAACAAAAUCAAUGUGGGCAAACGUAAAAGAGGCACAAAACAGUUUUGAAGGGUUUUACUAUAUGCAAUAGGAACUAACUAUUAUCCCCAUUUUUACAGAUGAUGAAAUUAAGGUCUGGAAGAAGCUAGGCAAUGUCAGUGUAAGAGAAGGAGCAGAAGGAUAUAGAGGUAUAGGCAAAGCCUCAAUGUUAAGCUAACUGGUUUGAAUUAUUCUGCAGCACUCUCAGAUUAUUUAAGCAGGGAGUGACAUGCUCAGAUUUAGUCAUAAUAGGAAAGAGAAUGGUAAUGUCCAUGAUUGCAAAUGGAGGGUUUGGGGUAUUAGGAUAACUCAGUGAGAAUUAUGAGAUCAUAAAGCAGAACUCAGAGACUGCUUCCAUAAAGCAAAUGAAGGAAUAGGAUAAAUACUACAGUCAAUCCCUGGUGUACAAAUGGCACCAUGGAGUAAAUGACAGUUAAUUACAGGAAAGAAUACAAGAGGGACAGGAGGAGGCUGCGAGAAGAGAGGCUGGUGUCAUGAUAAGAAUGUAAGGUCUCAGCUACUCCUGAAGCACCACGCCUGCCUGCCUGCAGCCAUGCUCCCUACCAUGAUGGUCAUGAACUCACUCUCUGAAGCCGUAAGACCCCAAUAUACACCUUCUUCUAUAA